GGGGAGAGAGUUGUAAUGCUCUGAAUAUUGAACUACUGUUGUUAGUUUUUGUCUAUAAUUACAAAUCUGCUUCAGUGGGUAAUUGUUCUGUUGUAUGGUUGAGGUCAGGGGUUCAAGUCCUAUUUUUAGAAAUUUUGCUAUCCUUUUGGUUCAACUCUUAUCCUUGAAUAUUUGACUUAAGUUUUUUAUUCUGCGUUAAUCUAGGUUAAGAAUGAGCUUGCUAGUUCGAUGGUUAAGUUUUAGUAUACUUUCUGGUUCUAUGUUUGAGUCUAUGUGCAUGCAGUAAGGAA
rnacentral:lncRNA from 1 species